rnacentral:tRNA from 1 species
UAGCCUAGUGGUUAAGGCUAUGGAUCGCCAAUCCGGAGACGGCGGGUACAAUUCCCGU